rnacentral:rRNA from 1 species
GGCUCAGGAUGAACGCUAGCGACAGGCCUAACACAUGCAAGUCAGGGGCAGCACAGGAGCAAUCUGAGGUGGCGACCGGCGCACGGGUGAGUAACACGUAUGCAACCUGCCUGUAAGCGGGGAAUAACCCGUUGAAAGACGGACUAAUACCGCAUAAUACUAAAUUACUGCAUGGUAAUUUAUUUAAACAUUUAUGGCUUACAGAUGGGCAUGCGCAUGAUUAGCUAGUUGGAGAGGUAACGGGCUCCCCAAGGCAACGAUCAUUAGGGGUUCUGAGAGGAAGGUCCCCCACACUGGUACUGAGACACGGACCAGACUCCUACGGGAGGCAGCAGUGAGGAAUAUUGGUCAAUGGACGAGAGUCUGAACCAGCCAAGUCGCGUGCAGGAAGAAAUGUCCUAUGGAUUGUAAACUGCUUUUGCAGGGGAAUAAAGUGCAUCACGUGUGAUGUUUUGUAUGUACUCUGCGAAUAAGGAUCGGCUAACUCCGUGCCAGCCGCCGC